rnacentral:rRNA from 1 species
GAUGAACGCUGGCGGCGUGCCUAAUACAUGCAAGUCGAGCGAACAGACGAGGAGCUUGCUCCUCUGACGUUAGCGGCGGACGGGUGAGUAACACGUGGAUAACCUACCUAUAAUACUGGGAUAACUUCGGGAAACCGGAGCUAAUACCGGAUAAUAUAUUGAACCGCAUGGUUCAAUAGUGAAAGACGGUUUUGCUGUCACUUAUAGAUGGAUCCGAGCCGAAUUAGCUAGUUGGUAAGGUAACGGCUUACCAAGGCAACGAUGCGUAGCCGACCUGAGAGGGUGAUAGGCCACACUGGAACUGAGACACGGUCAAGACUCCUAAGGGAGGCAGCAGUAGGGAAUCUUCCGCAAUGGGCGAAAGCUUGACGGAGCAACGCCGCGUGAGUGAUGAAGGUCUUCGGAUCGUAAAACUCUGUUAUUAGUUAAGAACAAAUUUGUAAGUAACUAUGCACGUCUUGACGGUACCUAAUCAGAAAGCCACGGCUAACUACGUG